rnacentral:rRNA from 1 species
UAGGGAAUCUUCCGCAAUGGACGAAAGUCUGACGGAGCAACGCCGCGUGAGUGAAGAAGGAUUUCGGUUCGUAAAACUCUGUUGUUAGGGAAGAAAAAAUGUAUAGUAACUAUAUACAAAAGAUACGGUACCUAACCAGAAAGCCACGGCUAACUACGUGCCAGCAGCCGCGGUAAUACGUAGGUGGCAAGCGUUGUCCGGAAUUAUUGGGCGUAAAGCGCGCGCAGGUGGUUUAGAAAGUCUGAUGUGAAAGCCCACGGCUCAACCGUGGAGGGUCAUUGGAAGCUAAUAAACUUGAGUGCAGGAGAGAAAAGUGGAAUUCCUAGUGUAGCGGUGAAAUGCGUAGAGAUUAGGAGGAACACCGGUGGCGAAAGCGGCUUUUUGGCCUGCAACUGACACUGAGGCGCGAAAGCGUGGGGAGCAAACAGG